AGGAUGAUAUUAUCAUACCACGUAAAAAAUAAAGGUUAAUACACCUUUUAUUCUUGAUAUGAAUUUUGAUGCUAACUUUUUUGUUUCAAUGUAGCAGGCUGUAGCUGGUAAGGAUUAUCACCUUGCAUCAGGAUCUUCUGAACCCUUCGCCGAUCCUCCUGGCUUCCAUGGGCAGGUUUCUAUGCUACUUAGUGAAUGGUGCCAGAUAUGGGAUUGCCUUGAUGUUAAUGAUGCAACUCGUGCUCAUUAUGUUCUACAACUUAAUAGAAAUGUGUUGUCGAAAGCUGAUGAUAUGCCAGAACGCUUUUUCCACGUUCUCUUGGAGCUUGCUCUAUCACACUAUCUAGCUUCCGAGGGGAUCAACUCUAGCCAUCCGCAAUUGCAUCUACAAGCAGAUCCUUCACCUUUCCUUGUUAUUGAUUCAUAUGCUGACCUUGUUUUUACAAUCUUGAAGGUAGGAAUCACCGACCCUGUAGUCCGGAACUUUCUUUUAUCUAUGCA